AGCUUGGAUUCGCUGCUUCUGCAUGUUUUGCGGUGUACAAGGUUUAUAAAAACUACUAUCCCAAGUUCCUGAUAUGUAGGGAAGAACAUGAACGCAUGUUACAACGUCAUAAAGAACUGUGGGCGCAGUCGAAGUUGGAUGAACUCUCAAGAAAUGUUUGUUGCUGUGGACAACAACCAAAAUAAUAA